GAAGUGCUGGAGAAGUGUUGGAGAAGAGCAGAGGACAAAGCUAGAGGAGCAGGCUGCUACAGGAACCAGCUUCACUUUUUGGCAUCGCAUUCUGCUGCAGCGUGGUUCCAGGCAGAAGCUGCAGCCGCUUUCUGAAAGCACAGAGAGAUGCUCCUGGGAGCUGAAGGGGCACGAGCGCUGGGGUUCGGCAUUUGGGAGCAGAGAUCUUCAGCACCACUUGUGCUGCUGGCUCCCCUGCACAGCCAGCCUCAUGAAAACCUGAGUUUUCAAAGCACUUCUCUGAUACUGAACUGCAGGUUACAGUCCUGCUGACCACCAUCUGUGAUGAGGAGACCCCCAGACUUCACCAGACUCUCAGACACUGCUCUGAUGGCAGGAGCUCUCCAGCAGCCUGGCAAAUGUGACCAUGAUCUGGCAGACAGGACAAAGUCAAAGACCUGCUGGACUCUAAGGUUGCUCAGGCAGUCGGGUAUGAAAAGCUUGUUCUCGUUUCCUCGUGGCAAGAUCAUGUGUUGAUGGGAUGUAUGGGGUGCUAAUUACUAUCUGUCAUUGGUAUUUAUGGGGUUCAAAUCACGACAGUGCCCUGGUGCCAGGUACAAUACUGAGAUAAGCAGACAAGUUAUUGGACGUGGACUCUGCUCUUCCCACCCUAGUGCUUGGCCCCUUCGACUCAGAGACUUUGUCCUCUUGCUCAUGCUCAGAUGCAGGGCACCUGAGCAAAAGUGAGGUUUGUGCUUCACUGUGGAACAGCCCCAGCUGUGAGCCCAGCCAGGCUGUACCUGUACCCAUGGCUCCAGCUGGGAUCAUGUUCUGCUUCUGUCCCUCGUGGUGGCGUGUGACCCAAGGCAGCGGCGCUGUGACCACUGGCACCGUGAGCAGAGCCCACAGAACCUGUGGCCUGCACACCAGCUGCUGCUCAGCUCUUCUCCACUGAAUGUUUUCCAAAAUCCAGCAAACUGUGUCAACUGGGAGAGCUGAAAUCAAUUGAGGUGCUGCUUCCCAGCCUGUGCAGGGUCACAGAAGGUAAGCAUGGAAAGCUUUGGUCUCUUUGGAGAAAGAAACUGCCAUGAACAGAGGGUUGCUGGAGCCUGGCUGGCAUUAAUGGGAAGAAUUUCUUCUGGCUACUGGUGCUAAAGAGACAGUUUGCUUCUCAGACAAACUCGAUCCUUUGACCAACAUGACCAAAGCUGUGGUCAGAGAGUCAGCCUCAGCCAGAUUCUGAGAAAAACACAUGCCUGGAACUCCAUUUCUACCACUACAGAGAAAUUAAUAUGAACCCACAAGAAAGUGGAGAUGAGAUGAAAAAAAUGCACAUCACGGUAGCAGCUAGUUCUUAAGUGGGAUGGGCAUAAAUUUAUUUAAUGUGGAUAUAGAAGGGGACAAAAAUAUUUUGUUUCUAUUAUUACUUGAUUGCAGGAGGAUAAAGGGAAAUUUCCUCACAACCUCAAGAAAGAAGUGUUCACAACUACUUUUUAAAAUGUGAAAAUUAAAACAAAAAAUUAGAAAGGAAAUGGAGGAGCUGUGUAAAAAUUUUCCCCCUUCUUUUGUAUCAGCUCUGAUGGUUCUAGUUGAUGUCUAAAGAGAAAGCUUGAUGGUUCAGAGAUGAACAAGAAAGGAAUCACAUCCUUGGUAAGCCCUGCUUAUGGGACAGCAAUGCUGGGACAUGCUGAAAAUGUUUAAAUAAAGAAUGUGCCAUGAACCAACACUUACCUCCUUCUUACCCUUACAGCUAUUUCCUUGCCCUCAAAUUUUCAGGAAUGAAAAGCUGUAAGGAUCAGUAAUUACGCUGAGACUUUUCCUUUGUGUAUCACUGCUCACUCAAGAAUUUCAGCCCAUUACACAAAUAGCAGUGACGUGCUUGUCAGGGGCCCUUUGAAGCACAAAGUGCCAUUGCUGCCAGCUUGUUUCGGCAGAGGGAGAUGAAGGGAUGGAGGCUGCAAUGCUUGGGAUGCCCUCCCCUUCCUCUCCCUCCCAAGGCUCU